rnacentral:rRNA from 1 species
AAUGAACGUUGGCGGCGUGGAUUAGGCAUGCAAGUCGCGCGAUAAGAGUAGCAAUACUUGGACAGCGGCGAAAGGGAGAGUAAUACAUAGGUACGUACCCUUGGGACUGGGAUAGCGGCGGGAAACUGCCGGUAAUACCAGAUGACGUUUCCGAACCAAAGGUGUGAAUCCGCCUGAGGAGCGGCCUAUGUCCUAUUAGCUUGUUGGUGGGGUAACGGCCUACCAAGGCAAAGAUGGGAUGGGGGUGUGAGAGCAUGCCCCCACUCACUGGGACUGAGACACUGCCCAGACACCUACGGGUGGCUGCAGUCGAGAAUCUUCGGCAAUGGACGCAAGUCUGACCGAGCGACGCCGCGUGCGGGAUGAA